ensembl:lncRNA
CUCCCUCCCCCCCUCCGUCUCCCUGUCUCUCUGACCUGUACAGCUAGGAUAAGUGCUACCAUAAGCUAGUAUACCCAGGUAUUAUGUCUAUCUCUUCCCAUGAAAAAUCACAACCCUGUGGGAUAGGCUUUAGCAAUCCAACUUCAUUUGAAGAGACUGUGUCCAGAGAAGUCAGGCACCAUCUGAGGUGUCCAGCAGGUAAAUUCAGAAUUGGGUGGAGCUCUGACCUGUCUAAUGUGUAGCCUAGGUUUCUCCACAGACAACACUUUAAUUUAGCUGAAUCAGCAUGUCCUAUUUACAAGACCCCGUGGUUUGAGAUUGUCAGCACUAUCUGUGGUCUUGGUGAAAAGAUUCUCUUAUUUUCUGGGAUGACAUAAAUUCACAAACAGCCUAGAGUGGGCUUGACAGCCUCAUCACUCAGUGACAUCUGUUUCUGCAUAUGGUUCCAGCUCUACUAGCAGGUAAGCCGCAGUGUCUCUGCUCAGUCGGCCUCUGGCUACCAUGGCAGGCUUCUCUUGGGUUCUAUGUCCAUUCUCCUCAUGAACUCUAUUGGGUUUUACAUAAUUAUGGCAAAAAUAAGAUCCACCUGCAAUAAACACUUGUCUGCAACAAAACUUGUCUGUCGCCAUCCCCAGGGAUCAAAUAGAUCUUAACUGUGUGAACUCCCAGCUUUGGCUCUGCCUAUCAAGCUUUUAUACGAUUUACUGUACCUUGAUUUAUCUGCUCCCACUGAUCUCAUUAAUUGAUCUAUAUUCUUAGUCUCUUUUAAAAAAUGAAACAACAUCCCACGUUAAAUUUGGAGUCACUUAGAAACUAUCUCUGCUCCUACUUUCUUUACACAACUUACUGUGUGGGAUCUCAAUGGCUAAGGGACACCUACUGUACAUACAUCAUCUAAGAAUAGAGGUCAGAUGGAGAGGGGCAAAGUUUAGAUAGGGAGGAGGAGAGGGUGGGAUGGGAUGAGCGAAGCAGUCUAGUGAAGCUAGAGAGAAGCAAAGGCUCCAGAUGCUUUCCAAGCAGUGGGAACGAGGAGUGGAAGCCCCUGUCUGGCACUGGAGAGCUAGAGAAACAGCAAGAGGCUGCAACUGCAAAGAAAACAACACGCAGACUGUGCCCUGUGUGCCCUGUGUUCUGGGUAGAGGAUUCUACCUUCACCACCAGAAAGAAGAGAGACUGCCCUUGAGAAUACCUUCAGCUUGGGCCUGGUGUGCCAGGGAGAUGAGGGCCCAAGGGAGAUGGAGGUGCUCUGGGUCCAUCUGGACAAGCUCUGAAAAGCCAAGAGAUUUUAAAUACAGAGAGAGCCCCUGUGAAGGAAGAAGCUAGGGACUAGAAAUGACACAAUUGCAAAUAUCUGUAUUUUUCUAACAGGCAGUACACUCCAGAUGCUGGAAAGGAAACAGUCUGCACCGGUGCUGGGUCGCCCCAGCCUCGGAAAUGAGACUCUGUGCCACAAUUAACCUCUUGAUGAGAGAUUUCUCUCAGUUAAAUUUUAGUUGACAGGUGGCAGAACCUGGACAACUUUGAAGCUUAACUGACAAGUGGAGAGGAUGAGGGCAGGAAUCCAUCACCUCCUCUCACUUCAUCUCCCUACCUCCUCUCCAGUCACUUCGACCCUGAGAAACCCUUUCCAGUGAAUAUCUUGAAACCCUCUAUUCAGUUUGAAUUGAGACCUCUCCUAUCCUCCAUCUGGGCACUCAGAGCUCACGGUGCAUGUUUUAAAACCAGCAUAGGACAUUGUGUGUAGAACUCCUGACUCCCUCAGCAGACUGUGAGUUCCUCACGGUUGAGAGCUCCGGUUUGUGUGUAUAGUUUGCCUCUAUUAGGUUGCAGAGGUGUGACAAAUACUUAUGAAUGAAUGGUUACAUCAGUAAUCAUGGGACAAUGAAUCAGGACCAGUGGUUAUCCACCUUUGGCAUGCUAAUAUGGAGGCUUAGGGUAAAAAGACUCAUUUAAAGAAAUUAAAUUACUUGAGAUAACACUAAACCAGUCACCCCAAAGCUACUUUGCAACCAUCACUGUAGUACACAAAACAUCUUGCUGUCUCUAUAAAAAUGUGCAAAGCCAUUGCACUGCUCACUGUGUGGAAUUAUUUGCCAUUAAGACUGCUCUCCCACAGAGCUGGGGAUGCAGCUCUGUGGCACAGCCCUGAGCACUGUCUAGCAUUCCCAAGUCCCUGAGUUCAAUCCUCAGCACCACAAACAACAGAAAAACAAGGGGCAGAGGUCUCACAUAUCCUAGGAACAUGGGCGCCUUUGGAGGCAGCUUGACUUCACCCUGAACUUGUACAAGUUAGUCACAGGGCAUCGUGGCCACACUACAAUGUGCAAGAAACCUGGGCUGCUCAACAUUGCAUCUGCCAGCCAUCAUAUAAAUAUUGGAAGAGAUAUUGAUAAAGCCCCCCUCAGGGAAUAACCCCCCCCCCAUUGCACUGGUUCUCACAGGAAACACAAGUAUGAAUGAGAGAAGUUGCCUUGUGGUGGAGCAAGCAGGACUCUUCCAAAAUUCUGUGACAAUGUCUUCCAGGCAAGAAGGGCAGCAACAACCCUGCUUGAAUUCACCGAGGUGGAAAGAAAGAGACUUUUCUCUGGAAACCUUCCAGAUCACUGGUGAAGAACAAAAGAAAGUUAUAGAGCCACCGUGCCAAUUCCCCACGAAUAAUCUCUCUCACAAUCAGGGGGCAAUUCUUGCAGGAAAGAGGUUGGUGUUGAGAGGUCUACAUGCUUGCUUCAUGUCCAUGAGUGAUGAAAAGGGUAGUGAUGAGCUGCAAGGGUUCCAAGGAGAAAGAAGCAUAGAUUUGUGGAUUUCAAUCAGGUGACAUCUGGGAGGCAAGAAGAAAGUGGAUUUUUUUGUUUGUUUGUUUCAGUGAGACCACACAACACAGGGCAGAAUUCCUAACACAGAAGCCAUGAGUGUUUUAAGUCCUAGCCAUGAUGGCAAGAUAUAGGGCAAGCCCCUGCACACACCUCUGGGCACUGCUACCAGUUUGCAUGCCAAGAGGAUGAAACACAUGACAUCCAGGUGACUCCUGUAGAAGGUCCAGUUCAAGUCACUUACCUGGAGAGGGAGCUGUCACCGUGAACCCAGUCCAUGAGUAAUCUGUAGCAGGCUCACUUAAGGGGAUGUUUGGAAGGUGGAAUCUAGGUCUAGGGAGACUGACCCAUCAGCAGCGUAUUGCUGCGGAAGCAUGAAGACUUGAGUUCCAUGCACAGCCACUAGAUAAUUGAAUUUUCAUGUGGCUAGCUCCCCAGAACCCAGUGCACGCUGAAGCUUGGAACCUCAUGCUUUUGGCUAAG